AAUAUUGCACAAUGGGCGCAAGCCUGAUGCAGCAACGCCGCGUGCGCGACGAAGGCCNNNGGGUCNUCAAGCGCUUUUCGGGGNGAUNAGUACGGACAGUAUCCCCGGAAGUAGGAUCGGCUAACUACGUGCCAGCAGCCGCGGUAAAACGUAGGAACCGAGCGUUAUCCGAAUUCACUUGGCGUAAAGCGCAUGCAGGCGGCCGCACAAGUUGGAUGUGAAAUCUCCCGGCUCAACUGGGAGGGGACGUUCAAAACUGUGCGGCUCGAGGGCGGUAGAGGAAGGUAGAAUUCCCGGUGUAGUGGUGAAACGCGUAGAUAUCGGGAAGAAUACCCGUGGCGAAGGCGACCUUCUGGACCGUUUCUGACGCUCAGAUGCGAAAGCUAGGGGAGCGAACGGG
rnacentral:rRNA from 1 species